AAAUUGAAGAGUUUGAUCAUGGCUCAGAUUGAACGCUGGCGGCAGGCCUAACACAUGCAAGUCGAACGGUAACAGGAAGCAGCUUGCUGCUUUGCUGACGAGUGGCGGACGGGUGAGUAAUGUCUGGGAAACUGCCUGAUGGAGGGGGAUAACUACUGGAAACGGUGGCUAAUACCGCAUAACGUCGCAAGACCAAAGAGGGGGACCUUCGGGCCUCUUGCCAUCAGAUGUGCCCAGAUGGGAUUAGCUAGUUGGUGAGGUAACGGCUCACCAAGGCGACGAUCCAUAGCUGGUCUGAGAGGAUGACCAGCCACACUGGAACUGAGACACGGUCCAGACUCCUACGGGAGGCAGCAGUGGGGAAUAUUGCACAAUGGGCGCAAGCCUGAUGCAGCCAUGCCGCGUGUAUGAAGAAGGCCUUCGGGUUGUAAAGUACUUUCAGCGGGGAGGAAGGUGUUGUGGUUAAUAACCGCAGCAAUUGACGUUACCC
rnacentral:rRNA from 1 species